GACGAACGCUGGCGGCGUGCCUAAUACAUGCAAGUCGAACGCAGUGGGGACGGGUGAGUAACACGUGGGUAACCUCCCAUCAGAGGGGAUAACACUUGGAAACAGGUGCUAAACCGAUACUGAUGGAUGGACCAGCGGUGCAUUAGCUAGUUGGUGAGGUAACGGCUCACCAAGGCCACGAUGCAUAGCCGACCUGAGAGGGUGAUCGGCCACACUGGGACUGAGACACGGCCCAGACUCCUACGGGAGGCAGCAGUGGGGAAUCUUCGGCAAUGGGCGAAAGUCUGACCGAGCAACGCCGCGUGAGUGAAGAAGGUUGUCGGGUCGUAAAACUCUGUUGUUAGAGAAGCGGUAUCUAACCAGAAAGCAACGGCUAACUACGUGCCAGCAGCCGCGGUAAUUC
rnacentral:rRNA from 1 species